UUUCAAUAAGAAGUCCUUCUCUUAUUAAUCAAACUCACAACUCACAAAUCACAAUAUCAAAAGUCACACAUAUGCAUCUCAAUAUGCCUCAAUAUAUAUAUGACUAUCUAACUCCUAAUCUUAAUAGGAUUAACACAAAUUCAUAUUUUCCUAAUCCUAAUAGAUAUCCAUAACUAGAUAGGAUUAGGUAGCUUCUUCUUCAAGCUACUUUCAAGCUGGAUCCAACAUUCUCCCGCCUAAGCUUGAACUCACUCUCGCACACGUCAUGAACGCCAACUAGAGUCCUCAUCUCGACAAACUUUGUUCUACCAAGCGACUUGGUAAGUAUGUCAGCUCGUUGCUCAGUUCCUGGAACAUGUUCAACUUCUACUUGAUCAUUUUCAACGCAUUCUCUUAUGAAGUGGAAUCUCCUGUGUAUAUGUUUGCUUCGCCCAUGAAACACCGGAUUUUUUGUCAACGCAAUUGCAGAUUUAUUAUCCACUUUUAUUGUCACCCGUUUGCAGUCUUCACCCAUAACUUCACUAAACAAUUCUUGAAGCCAAAUUGCUUGUUUUGCAGCUUCCGUAGCAGCCAUAAACUCAGCUUCACACGAUGAUAACGCGACAAUCUCUUGUUUCUGUGAGCACCAGGUUAUAGGGCUCUCACCAAGAUAGAACACAUGACCAGUGGUGCUCUUUCCAUCAUCAGCGUCGAGGUUAUGCGAGGCAUCACUAUAGCCUAUUAGCUUUACGUUCUUGCUGGCUUCAAAACGAAGCCCUAGAGAACAAGUUCCACGCAAGUACCUCAAAACUUGUUUCAGAGCUGCAGCAUGAGACUCCUUGGGCUCUGCCAUGUACCUGCUGAGAACUCCCACUGAAUAAGAAAGAUCGGGACGUGUAUGCAACAAAUAUCUCAAGCAUCCAAUGUUCCUUCUGUAUUUCUUUUCAUCGACAUUCUUCUCCUUAGAGGACUUGGACAAACUCACAUUUAUAUCCAUCGGUAUGUGAGUCAAGUUACACGAACUCAUACUGGUUUCCUCAAGUAUUUUCAUUGCAUACUUCUCUUGACUCAAAACUAUGUAUCCUUCACAUUGCUUCACCUCUAUUCCCAAAUAGUAUGUCAAUCUUCCAAGGUCACUCAUCUCAAAGUUCUUUGACAUCUCCUUUUUAAAUUCUAAUAUCAUCGCAAGUGAUGACCCUGUUACUAAUAAAUCAUCAACAUAGACCACAAUAAUCAAUAAUCCUCGCUUUUCUUCCUUCCUGUAUAGAGAGGGCUCCUUUGAACACUUAAGAAAAUUCAAACCGCGCAGGAUAGUAUUGAGUUUUGCAUUCCAUGCCCUUGGUGCUUGUUUUAGGCCAUAAAGUGCCUUCUUUAACUUAUAAACCAUCUUCUCCCUUCCUGCAAUAACAAAUCCUUCGGGUUGUGUAACAAACACUUCUUCUUUUAAAUCUCCAUGAAGAAAGGCUGUUUUCACAUCAAGAUGAUGAACCUCCCAAUUCCUUGCAGCUGCAAGUGCAAUGAUCAAACGUAUGGUUUCAAUUCGUGCUACUGGCGCAAAGACUUCGUCAUAGUCUAUACCAUGCUUCUGAACAUACCCUUUAGCCACCAACCGUGCCUUGUAUUUGAUGACACUUCCAUCAGCGUUACGUUUUAUCUUGAAAACCCACUUAAGGCCUAUAGGUUUUACUCCAGACGGCACUUCAACCAGGUCCCAUGUGUGGUUUGCUUCAAUAGAAGCUAUUUCAUCUUUGCACGCAUCGAUCCAGACUUCCAAUUCCUUAGCUUCUGUAAAAUCCCAUGGCUCUUCAUUGAUCAUCAUUAGUAACUGCUCACACUCUGUUUCCGCAAGUAGUAUAUAGUCAUUAAGAUAGGUUGGUGUUGUAGUUGAUCUCGUUGAUCUUCGCAACUGUGGCUGCACGUCUUCACCAUCUUCUUCUUCAUUACUUUUAUCAGAAUAAGCUUCUCCGGUAGCUGGGAUCUCGUUCGUAGCUUCACCAGCUUCACUCGGCUCAUCGUUCGAUCCCUUUAUCAUCACAGAGAACUCCUCUGUUUCAUCGUUUACCGUCUUAUCCCAGUUCCAUUCUUUCUCUUCCAAGAAACAAACGUCACGACUGACCACUAUACGCUUGCUUGUGGUAUCAAGAAGCCGGUAAGCCUUGGUUCCAGGUUCAGUUCCGAGGUGUACUAGUGCUCUCGACCUGUCAUCAAGUUUCUUUCUUCCUAUCGUAUCAGUCCUCGCAUAGCAGACGCAUCCGAAUACUCUAAGAUGGCUGAGGUUUGGCUUCCGUGAUUUAAGCACUUCGUAUGGUGUUUUUCCGUCCAAAGACCUCGUUGCUACCCUGUUGAUCAGGUAGGUAGCAUGUCUUACAGCUUCUCCCCAUAGAUAGUUUGGUAGAUUCAUGUGUUUCAAGAUACUUCUUGUCAUCUCCAAGAGAGUUCGGUUUCGCCUUUCAACCACUCCAUUCUGUUGAGGUGAAUAGGGUGCCGUUAAAUGUCUGUUGAUGCCAUGUUUAUCACAGUAAUGUUGAAACUCAUGUGAUGUGAACUCUCCCCCUCUAUCCGUUCUGAAAGUUUUGAUUUCUGUCUGAGUUUCUUGCGUAACAAUCUUCCUGAAAUUUUUGAAUUUCUCAAAUGAUUCACUUUUCUCCUUUAGCAGCACUGUCCACAUAUAGCGUGAGUAGUCGUCGAUAAGAACAAACACAUAACGCUUCUUGGCCGGUGUAGACGGUGUGAUCGGUCCGCAUAGAUCACCAUGGACGAGUUCUAGAGGUUUUGAAGCUCGAUAUGUCGUUGAUUUUGGGAAUGAAGAUCGAGCUUGUUUCCCGCGUAGGCACGUCGUACAGGUCUCUUUGUCGAUGCUCAGCUUGGGAAUACCUAGGACCAGUUCCUUGUUGAUCAUUAGCUUCAUCGACUCUAUGUUGACAUGUCCGAGACGUGCGUGCCACGUAGACGAGACACUGGUUAUUACUUGCAGACAACGGACCUGUUCAGCGUGUAAGGUCACUUUGUAGAGACGGUUGCUUGAUCUUGUAGUCUUCAACAUCAACUCUCCUGAUCGAUCAAACAACGAGAGAGUAUUGUCUCGCAUACAAACUUCACAGCCAGCCUCAGUCGCUUGUCCUAAACUAACGAUAUUACUCUUUAAGUUUGGUAUGUAAUAUACGUUGUGAAGGAUUUUCUUCUCUCCACCUCGGAAUGUAAAACGUAUGGAGCCUCUUCCUACUAUAUUGAUCCGCGAGUCAUCUCCAAAUCUUACUUGGCCAGUAAUGCUUUCAUCAAGGUCUUGAAAGAAUAGUCGGUUCCCACUCAUGUGAUUGCUUGCGCCAUUGUCGAGAUACCACGUGUUCUCCAGGUUAGUCUCAAAACUCUUUGGAUUUACUUUCCUUUCAUUUAGAUAUACUACUUCAUUCAUCAUCAAUUCAUCAGCCUCAUGUGUAUCAUCUUCCUUCUUCUCAAUGGCUUCUUGGAGUUUCAACUCCUUGUCUGGACAUUCUGAUGCGUAAUGACCAAGUUUAUCGCACUUGAAACAUGUAAUAUGAGAGAUGUCUCUGUUCUGUCCCUGUCCUUGUUUGUACGCCUCUCUCUGUCUCUCAAAGUUACUGGAACGACCGCGACCUCGUCCUCUCCAUGAUGACCGUCCACCACGUCCUCUACCACGAUUGUUUCCAUAAUUGUUGUUGUAACCUUCAUAGUUUGAUCCUGAGUUAGCCGCAUACAUUAAUUUUUCUUGAUCAUCAAGUUUUUCUUCUUCCUCCGCGCAUACUCUUUCUUCAUAGGCCUUUAACCUGCCUACUAUGUCUUCGAAACUUGUAGUGUUCAGGUCAAGGACUUGCUCGAGGGAAGCAACAAUCUGGAUAUAUUUAUUCCUUGGCAAACUUUUAAGAAAUUUCUUUACAAGUUUUGGUUCUUCUAGGAUCUCUCCCAAUGAUGCUGAUUUUGAUGAUAUCUCAGAUAAUUUUCCAGCAAACAUAUCGAUAGUGUCAUCAUCUUUCAUCUUAAUUCUAUCAAAUUCAGCCAUUAGAGUUUGUAGUCUAGCUUCUCUUACUCUUUCAGCCCCAACAUGUCUUGAUUUUAUUGCAUCCCAUACUCCUUUUGCUGUAUCAAUCUCCCCAACUUGUAAAAUUAGAGCUUCUGGUAUGGAUUGGAACAGAAACGCGAUUGCCAUAUUAUUUUUCUUCUCAUCUUUAGCUCCAGGAUCUAUUGUUUCCCAGACCUCACUAACCUUAAGAGCUAUCUUCAUUCUCAUGGCCCAUACAGUGUAAUUUGAAGAAGUUAGCAUAGGAAAUUUAAUGGAGGCAGGGCCGUUCUCUUUGUUGAUCACUCCGGGUACGUCUUCUUUGCUUUCUGCCAUGGUUGCUGUCGUAGUAUCACAGUCGGAUGAUUUAAUCGGAUGGUUUUAUAUAAGGCUCUGAUACCAAAAUAUAGAAGCACACAAUCAAAGCUUUCAAUAAGAAGUCCUUCUCUUAUUAAUCAAACUCACAACUCACAAAUCACAAUAUCAAAAGUCACACAUAUGCAUCUCAAUAUGCCUCAAUAUAUAUAUGACUAUCUAACUCCUAAUCUUAAUAGGAUUAACACAAAUUCAUAUUUUCCUAAUCCUAAUAGAUAUCCAUAACUAGAUAGGAUUAGGUAGCUUCUUCUUCAAGCUACUUUCAAGCUGGAUCCAACA
rnacentral:lncRNA from 1 species